GUGCAUAGGGUGUUCCACUGUUUGCGGCAAUUCUGCGCAGGUUUUGUGCAGAAAGAUAUGGUCACAACCACCUUGACUACUACUACUAUUGCAAGUAUAAAGCUGCCUUUGGUUAUUGUUGUAUUGCACCCAUAGCAAACAACAUCUGCCUGAGCAUGAUUUUUACUGAGCUCAAUAAGGAUCAGUGGAUGUUCAUGGCUAAAGUGGUUCAGCUGCUCCAUCUCACUACUUGAAUGUGGUUGUGAGAGAAAACUCUAGGGAGAGAAAGAGAAGGAUAUCGGAUGAGUUCUUGGAGGGGUAAAGGGAUUAGAUGUGAAAAAAAUUAAAUAGAUGGAAAAAUAAUUUAUUGGUGUGAGGUGGGCGAAGGAGAAGGGAAGUCUUGAAAGGUUGAUUAUUGCUGGGUUUGGCCGCCGGACAAGCCCUCACGCGCGGGAGCCAUCAGAUCUGACUUUUCGUGGGGAAUCCUUUUCUGAUGUUAGUAGUAGUUAGUGGGUGGGAAAUCCUUUUCUGAUUUUUAUUAUUUGAAAUUGAUAUUUUCACAUUAUUUUUUUGAUAUUUUUAUAUGUAGAGUUUACAUAUUAGUUGAUGUGUCAAAUUUUUAUUAGUAUGUGGG
rnacentral:lncRNA from 1 species